rnacentral:tRNA from 1 species
GCCCAGUUGAACCUUCGGUGGUCCGAGGUGCGGGCUUCAAACCCGUAGCUGAUUAGCGUCAGAGUGGUUCAAUUCCACCUACUGGGC